GCCAAGAGGGAGCUGAGACUUGCAUUUUGCUGUUCGUAAGCACUGAAGAAAAGCCUCAGGUUAUAUAAUGCUGAAACAAGUCCUCUUUCCUGGUGAAUUUCAUGCAUCGCCUCUACCACAACUCUCCCAGGCAGAUCGUGCAGUAAAGUUCGUGCAUGGUGCAGGAAUGUAGCACCUGCUCAAAUCCUGGGGUUUCUGUCUAACGUUUCAACACUCGACAUUGUCUACAUCUUUAUGGUAACCAUGCUGCUUUGCUCCUUUUUCACUCCUAAAUCCUCCUCCUAUGAGAUUGACAGCCGUCUUGUCUUCUGCUAUGAGGGAGGGCUUCUCCCAUCGACAUCGCUACGGCCACUUGGGGAUGUGGAUGAACUACGAAGCUCUCCUGUCGGAAUAGCAGCAUCUUCGCUGAAGCGCUACAGUGGUGCUGCUGCAGCAUUUUAAGUGCAAACCUGCCC